rnacentral:lncRNA from 1 species
UGGUACUAACAACAUACUUUUUUCCUUUUUAGGUGGAUGAGACAUUCACACGUCGACGUAAAUAUAACCGUGGCAGGCUCACCACAGAGCACACCGUGGUUAUUUUCGGUGCCUACUGUAGGGAGAUAGGGGAGUGAAUGUACUGGAAGGUAAGCUUCUGAUAUUAUUGUUGGUUGUGUUUUCAGAAGUCCGGCGACUCACUUUAUUAGCUGUGAAGCCGAUGCCAGCAUUCGGUAACUACCCUCACGAUAGGACAGCGCGUAACGCAUUACUGCUUUCCUAUCUCAAUUAUUUACACUCAUUCUCUUUCUUUCAUAUGAAGGUCGACAAGUCUAGCAAUGUGUUAAGGCCGGUUUAUAGUCCGACUCCAGCGUGGAGUUCGGUACGCGGAGCUCGCCGAGUUCUGUUCGGUUCGCCACGUUUGGUUGGCGUUAGCGCUGUACUAUGAACUGCC